UACGUAGGGUGCAAGCGUUGUCCGGAAUUAUUGGGCGUAAAGAGCUUGUAGGCGGUUUGUCGCGUCUGCCGUGAAAAUCCGGGGCUCAACCCCGGACUUGCGGUGGGUACGGGCAGACUAGAGUGUGGUAGGGGAGACUGGAAUUCCUGGUGUAGCGGUGAAAUGCGCAGAUAUCAGGAGGAACACCGAUGGCGAAGGCAGGUCUCUGGGCAUUACCUGACGCUGAGGAGCGAAAGUGUGGGGAGCGAACAGG
rnacentral:rRNA from 1 species